rnacentral:rRNA from 1 species
UACGAAGGGGGCUAGCGUUGCUCGGAAUCACUGGGCGUAAAGCGCACGUAGGCGGAUUGUUAAGUCAGGGGUGAAAUCCUGGAGCUCAACUCCAGAACUGCCUUUGAUACUGGUCGAUCUCGAGUCCGGGAGAGGUGAGUGGAACUGCGAGUGUAGAGGUGAAAUUCGUAGAUAUUCGCAAGAACACCAGUGGCGAAGGCGGCUCACUGACCCGGUACUGACGCUGAGGUGCGAAAGCGUGGGGAGCAAACGGG